CAGCUGUAGAAGUGCCCUGCAAUUCUGGCAAUGGUCUGAUGCAACCAGAACCAGAAAUGACAGUCUCUGCCAUGAAUCCUUUGUUCACUUCUGAUUUCCCACCUUUGAAGAAGCAGAUCACUGAACCACUUGAUAAUUGUUCUGUGGGAGGAUAUCAUGGCACUGAGGAUUCACUUAUUGAUGGCUUUGAAGAUAGUGGUUUGAGGGGUGUCCAUUCUUGUUCGACUGUUUGGGAGCUGGCUGUCCAAAAAGUGCAAUCCCCUUGUCCAUCAGGAUCAGAAGGCAAGCAGAUUGCAGAGGCAACUCUAGUUAUGGCAGGAAGUAGUCAUCAAAACAACUCUAUUCUUAUAGAAAGUGGUGAGGCAGAAAAAAUGGAAGUAGAUACUGGAGAAGAGCAAGAUAUUGCAGACAGUGGGACAGCUCAGUGCCAAUUUCCCUCAGAACUUCAGGUCCCUGACUCAGAUGAAAGAUUGCCUGGUACAGAUGUGGAGAAUGAUAGUUGUCAACAUAUAAAGAAUGAUUUACCUUCUAUGUCGAGCUAUUUGUCUUCAUUAGGAGAUGGUAAGGAAGUUUCUGCUACCAACUCCAGUGGUGCAGUUAUGGGGCUUGUGUCUGAUACAUUGCCUGAUAUGCUGAGCACAUCGCACAUCCAACUUUCCAUUGAAAAGGGUGGUGGGGAUGAUGAAAUCCUACUUGGGAAGCGUGCAAUUAAAGGUGGUUCUAACAUAUCCGUUGUUACUUCUGGUUCACCAAAUACUGAAAUUAAUUUUAACUCAGACCAUGGAGUAGAAAAUGAUCACUCAUUUAGUGGCAAAACCGGACUUUUGCCAUCACAGGAUUCCAUAAAUAGUACUCAAAUGGGGAAUACCAUGAGUGGAGAAGUAUAUGG
rnacentral:misc_RNA from 1 species